GUUGGAUCCAGCAGGAUCAACUAGCUCUAGUUUGAGCCACAAAAGAAUAAGUUCAGAAAUACCUUGGUCUGAAGAUGAUGCCAUGCCUCCUCUUGUUUAAUUGCUCACACCAGGAUGGAGCAAUUUGUGCUAGGUUCUUCCUAGUGCUUUAGUGCUAGCCUGAUCGGUGGCUUGUUCUUGAGAGAGAGUGUGUAAGAGAGAAGACAGAGAGCAGCAGCCGUCUUCAACCUCUCCUCUUCUAGGUCAUUUGACCCCUUUUAUAUGUUUAGCACUAUGCACUAGGGGAACCAGCACCGUUGGAUCAAAAUCGAUGUCUCCGAUCAAGACAACACAUAAGGAUAGGUGGCCAUUUACUGUA